rnacentral:lncRNA from 1 species
ACCUCGAGGCAGCUCGUCCGCCUGUGAGGCAGGAUUUCCGAGGAGCCCACUAGGUGGUGCGUGAGCUGCGGCGAUGGUGACCGGCUGCGCUGGACCAGUCACCGCCCGCCUCCCAGGACCCCCCUCAGGCCAGAGGCCCCCAGCUCACAAGCCGGCCCUGAAUCAUCCCUGUUCCUGGGCCCGUCUCCACGUUCUUCCUCUGGGAAAGCAGGGCCCAGGCUUCUGCUCCCUCUUCAAUACAGCACACAUGAACACUUUGGGAGUGUCGCCUUAAAAAUAAAAAACACAACGUGAGAGUUGAGAGUUAAGUUUUACUUGGGACAGAAUGAGGACUAGAACCUGGGUGGCAGCAUUCAGAGAGACCCGAGAAACUACUCCAAAAAACUGGGACCUCAGUGAGUCCGGACACCAGGCCAAGUGUGGAAAAGAAAGGAAGAAGGAAGAGAGGAGGCAUCCGUUGAUGAACUUCAGAUGCCAAGAUAAAGGAGACUUGCUUUUCGACGAGAUGACACUGGCCCUGCUGGUCGGGCUUCCGGGGAGAGGAGGUCUGAACUGCUCGGCUGCUGUCUACUGGCUGAUAAUGGGAUGAAAACAACACACAUCAAACAGUGAGCGGGGCUGUUAACAAGGUAGCCCUUCCUGGGAUCCUGGCGCCUUCAUCCAGUCAGGCCGGUGCCUUGAGCACCCACCCAAAAGUGGCGAGGGGAGUUCCUUGGGACCCUUCAAGUCCUAGCGUGUGGGUGAGAGCCCCCGGCUCCGGGAACGGCAAGCGGCAGGUAAGUCUUCCUGGAAGGCGCCGUCCCCCUCUCCGGGCUGGCUCUGCAGCCUUUCCCUCGGAGUCGCAGUCUAGGAAGCAGGCUCCUCGCUAAGUAUUUGGCAUUUGAUCCUCAGAACGGUCAUCUUGCCGGAACUCGGCCUCUGUUCGCUGGUGCUCAAUAGAAACGCGGAGACGGAGCUUUGGAUGAAGUAGAGAAGGCAGGCCUGAUUGCUUUGCCAGGAAGGGGGGGCCACAGCGGGCCAGGGCCCUCGGAACUUUUGGGGGGGCGGUGAGGAGUCUCACAGUGUCAAGGAGCAGAGCAUGGCCAGCUCGUGGGCGUUCUUCUGAUGGGUGGGUGGUGAGGUCACGGGGAGUCCGCGCCAUCACCCCUCUGGUUCCAGUUGGUCUGGGGUCUCCGUGCUUGUGGGCAGCACAUGGUUGGCUUCCUCCCCUUGGCGGGGGUAAACUGCUCCGAGGACAUGGCUCAGAAUAGUAUCUCUGGUCUUUGAGAAAGAAUGUAAGGUCCUUGACUUUGUUGAGUGGCUAAAGUAUUAUUUUGUCUUGCUGGACUGCUUUUCCUUUCGCUUUGCAUUUUCUCACGUCUCUGAUUAAGUUUGAUUUUUUGGACUAAAGUUUUUCUACAGACCAAAGGCAGGCAGAGGACCUGGGGGCGGGGGCGGGAUCUGUUCUGGGAAGGCCCCAUAGCGUCCGGCUCGGUUACCCUAAAGAGAGGUAUUUUUUCCCCAUUUGACAGUUGGGAGAAGGGAACCCCAACAGCAAAAAAGUCUCAGGAGGACUCAGGCCUCCUGAAACAGCAUGGCCCCUGCUGCCCCUGUGGCUUUUCUGAAGAUGCAGCCCAGUUGAGUCUGAUUUGCUGAUUAUUGCAGACCUCUGGGCAUGAAGCUCUGAAAUCGAGAAGCGGGUGUGGCUGGUGAUGAAGGUAAACCGCACAGUCAGCUCAGCUCAUGGAGAGUCCAGCGUCUGUUGUUGUUGCUUUCAUCCUCCGGGGAAGCCAGUUUUUAGUGCUCAAAGUUUAGUAAAACAAUUUCCUACACUCGUUUAAUCAUUUCCACUUUACAAACAAACUGAGGUUUCAGCAUACCAGGGGACUUGUCCUGGCUGAUUCUGCAGGUUACGGGGAGCCAGGACUUCUGACCCAAGUCUGGAGGGAUGCUUCUCUGGCUUGGAGGAUCAAUGAAAAAUCAAAUCUGAGUUGUUCCACUGAGGUGAUGGAGUGUGCGAUUACUACAGCCUCUUAGAUAUUUAAAAUCGUAUGUUGCAAAAGACCAGUCCUACCCAUUUGCUGGGUGAGCGGGUGUUGGUAACACAAGCCAUCCUCAUACUUAAGCACAGUGGAUUGGAACGUACGGCAAAUAAACAGCGUUUUUUCCUGGCUCAGUGAGGGUAACGGCUGCUUUUGAAGAAUUAUUGCAGGUGUUUCUAGGCGAUGAAUAAAGUUACUGAGGUCGUGCAGGUGGAGCAUCUAGGCAUGGAAUUUAGAAAUUUCAAGAACUCGAAAAUUUUCCUUCCACCCCCUCCAGCUCACACAGUGAACGUGAUUAAGCGCUUCACGGGGUGGGACCCUGCGGAGGCCACCGAGGUGGGCGACACGGCUCCCCUCCCAGACCCCAUGUGGUCGGGAAACUGCACUGAAGGGCUCUGGCCGCACUGCAGAGGGUCUCACGGUGUCCAGCGGGCCAGCUCCCAGGGGACCUAACGGAAAGAAGAAUGGACGGAUGAAAAUCCGCAAGUCCUCAGGCCGUCCUCUCCCCACAGCCCGUCUGGAGGCACCCCAGAGGCCGACUGACUCUUUGCCUCUAAAUAUUUCAUCUGUGUGGCAACGGGACAGACUCAGGUGAGAAAACUGGAGUCAGUGUCACAGGGCCAACUUGGGCAGCCCUUUGGCGAGGCCACCUGCUUGAGCAGCCGGACGAUGGUAGUUAGGGAGGUCAGACGCCUCAUCUAAGCCCUGGCUUGGCCGCUUAUGGUCUGCCCUCCGUUGUGUUGCUUUAUCAACCUGGACCUCAGUUCGCUCAUCUUUAAAAUGGGGAUACAGGAGUCCCUGGUGGCUUAGUGGUGCAUGGCUUGACUUUUGUCACUGCUGUGGCUCUGGUUGCAUCCCUGGCUGUGGAGUUUCUGCAUGCCACAGGCCCAGCCACAUACAUUUAAAAAAUAAAUAAAAUUGGGAUAUGAACAGCCCGUAGCUCAAAGGAACUGAAAAUCAAAUAGCGAGCCAAGUGUGGCAGAAUUCCACUUUCCUUGUCCACAUGAUGCAUAGAUAAUAGUUGUCUUACUUUCUAUCAUAGGAUGAUGCUGAGGGGCCAGGAAAAAAAAAAAAAA